rnacentral:rRNA from 1 species
UAGCAUUAUACCGUGAAACUGCGAAUGGCUCAUUAAAUCAGUUAUCGUUUAUUUGAUAGUACCUUACUACUUGGAUAACCGUGGUAAUUCUAGAGCUAAUACAUGCUGAAAACCCCAACUUCGGAAGGGGUGUAUUUAUUAGAUAAAAAACCAACGCCCUUCGGGGCUUCUUGGUGAUUCAUGAUAACUUUACGGAUCGCAUGGCCUUGCGCCGGCGACGGUUCAUUCAAAUUUCUGCCCUAUCAACUUUCGAUGGUAAGGUAUUGGCUUACCAUGGUUUCAACGGGUAACGGGGAAU